GAAGAGCACAGUUUAAACCAACACCACCGAAGACAAAGAAAUCCGAGGCAGAAAAGACGAUUGAAAAACUAGCUCCAGGCCACUGUGGCAUCACGGUCUAAGAAUCUUCUGGAGAGCGGCUUCAAGGUGGAGAGCACCAUUUUCACUUGGACUGUCACUGGUGAAAAGGUGUCAGUGAGCACUGUGAGAAAACUCGGGGAGGAACAAGGAACACGGAGACGAGGAAUAACUCAAAUAAACAGGCUUUAAUCCAUCCCAACAGAGGCAAGACAAGGCAGGGCUGAGACAAACAGGAACACAAGGAACGUAGCGAGUAGACCAGACCAAAGGGGAACUGAACAGGCAGGAACUUAAAUACAAGGGUAAUUAAUAGAACACAGCUGAACGGAAUCAUAAUUAUACUAAACAAAGACAGGAAAAUGACCAAAUAUGGGCAUAAGAGGGAGGGAAACACAAGACUGACAUUACUCCCCCCUCCCCUGAAGGUGCAUCCACGUGCCUCCUAAGAUCCAACGGCGGAUCAGGCAGUUCGGGGCACCAUGCCACAGCAGGGAGCCCAGGAAGCCAUGGCGGAGCAGGGAUCUCAGGAGGCCAUGGCAGGGCGGCCUCCGUGGCCUUGGCCUCGUCCUUCGGCCCGGCCUCUAUGGCCCGAGCCAUAUAGCCCCCCCCCAAAAAAAAAUCCUUGGGGAGAAUCUUGGGUCUAGAGGCCCUGCCUGGGCUGGACGAGGGAACAGCAGCUCUCUCUGGGCUGGAUCCAGGGACUGGAGCCCUCCUUGG